UACAGAGGGUGCAAGCGUUAAUCGGAAUUACCGGGCGUAAAGCGUGCGUAGACGGUUAUGUAAGUCGGGUGUGAAAGCCCCGGGCUCAACCUGGGAAUGCCAUUCGAGACUGCAUAGCUAGGGUGCGGAAGAGGGAAGCGGAAUUUCCGGUGUAGCGGUGAAAUGCGUAGAUAUCGGAAGGAACACCAGUGGCGAAAGCGGCUUCCUGGUCCAGCACCGACGUUCAGGCACGAAAGCGUGGGGAGCAAACAGG
rnacentral:rRNA from 1 species